GAAUCAGGAUUACGAGCUUUAAGAAUAAUAACUAAAUUUAAAUAUUUUGAGCUAAUGAUUUAAGUGUAAUAUGUACGUUAUUAGUAUUAAUGGGAUAGGAUGUUAUAUUUGGUAUCAUUGUAUUUAUUAUUAAACCUGCUUUACCGGCCGAAAGUCUAUAAUGUCUCUCAUAUAUCGUUUAGUGAUUCUGAGUUAGAAAAUAUUUUUUUACAGUGCCUAUAUAAGAAAAAAAAAAAAGAAAAU
rnacentral:lncRNA from 1 species